rnacentral:snRNA from 1 species
AUAACCGCAUCAGGUCUCC